UUUGUGAUGAAUAAAAGGCAAAAGUAAAAAGAAAAAGAAACCUGAUAUUACUUCACUCCUGAAAUAUUGUGCCACGAUUUUCCGAAGAGAUAAUUGGUUGUACCAAGAUAUUUUAUUUGUUAAGGUCUGAGAAGGCGGAAGUAUGAUCCAAAUAGCAAAGGUCCCAGUGGCAAAUAAAAGGCACUUGGAAACUGUGGUGUAUUGUUCUGUUCUUCUGGAAGACAAAACACUGCCAGGACAAGGAUGGAGCCAUUCCAAGAGGAAGCUCAAGUUUUCCGCUUGAAAACUGGGCCGGUAUGGAGUUUGGGAUACUGGCAUAGAAGAAGGGGACACUGAAGACAUCUCUUUAUUUCUUGAUCUGAAAGGGAAAACAUGCUUCUGCAGUUGUGACAAGCUGAGGGAGACUGGAAGCUUCCCUGAGAGUGAGUUACUAAGUUCUUGUCCCGCCCAUUUUCCGAGUUCUCCAAGGACACACAUCUCAGUGUCCCCUCCUGCCCCUACCACUCCAGCAAAGCCCUGGUCCAGAGAAUGAAAGAUACCUGUUUGAACUUAAGAUGAUCACAUCGUUUGCUUAUUGGUCACUUACUAAGGGUUUCACUGGCAUCUUCCGGUUGUAACUCUCAGGCUCCUUUGAGAGAGGUCCUGCUACUAUGCCCAUUUUAUUGAUGAGGAAACUGAGCAUAGAUAGCCUUUGAAAUC
rnacentral:lncRNA from 13 species